AUGGAUUGAGGACGGAACAGGCAGCCGUCGCCCUAGUUGGAGAUGUGGGAGUGUCGCCCCACCAUUUCAU
rnacentral:ncRNA from 12 species